AAUGCUUUGGGAGAGGCUUGAGCUCCAACUCAGGCGCCUGCACAAUAGAAGGCAACAAUUUUGCCUGAGUUUCUGGUACAAAACCAGAAGUAAGCUCAUACCUUGGAGAAAUUGGUGGGAGCGAAUGCAGUGCUCCAACAGCCCGGUAUAACUCAUCACUCAUUUCUACAUCAGGAGUCGCUCCCAACUCAAGAUGUUUGGCUAAUGCCACUGCCAGUGCAUCAACCCCAUCCAAUUCAAAUAUUUCCUGUACAAGGGGCUCGACAACACUUAAAGCAUAAACAGAGUUAGUCUCCUCUGGGUACUUCAUCGCAUAAAAAAUAUUAAAAUUUACAAUUUCCCCAUCAAACUCCAUCGACAAAGUACCCUCAUUUACAUCUAUUUUUGUCCUAGCAGUGCUUAAAAAUGGCCUACCUAACAGAAUAGGAGACGGAUUUAGUGCCCUUUCAUCCCCC
rnacentral:lncRNA from 1 species